rnacentral:lncRNA from 1 species
CCGUGAACAUGGCGAACCAGGUAACUGCGUGAUUGCCGCGGGCCUUGUGCUAGAGGAAGGAAGAACGCGGGGUGGCGUCAGGCCGCUAGCAAAGGCGCGCGGCUAGGCCCGGGACGGGAUCCCGCCACCGAAGCUGAAUCAGAGCCUGCGGCCGCCUCAGCCGAAAAGAGAGGAAGGAAGCUUUGUUUUGGCUCCUCACUGGGGCAGUAGUUUUGCUCUCUGCUUCUGGAACCGCCAGAGGUGGAUGGGGGUGGGGUGGACCGAAGAGUGGGGGCAGGGGCUGGUCCAGUGCGUGUCCUAAUACAAAUGGCCUUGGAGAAGCCAUUGCUCUUUACAAGUCAUUGCUCUUUAUGCGAAAUUAAAUAACUUUCGUGGUGUCACUCUUGCAGGCAGACAAAGCUGCAGCCAGAGCCCUACUCCUACGUGCUAGUGCUUUAUGGUUGCAAUUCACGACUUGGAAAAUGCUCAAUUACUGUGCCACUUGAGAGUGUAUUUUGGGAAGACUCUUAGGUUCCUUUCUUUUUAACAUUUUUUGAGCACUUAGGCACCAAGAGAUUUAUGCCCUCUCAUAAUCCUUGUAUAACACUACUGCGAGGCAUUUUUUCCCUUCUCGGAGACCAAAAAAUGAAGCUUAAAAAGUUGGUUGUGCUUCGUGAUUACACCAAAGGUAGUGAGUCAGAAGUCCAACUCAGAUCUGUACUUGAGUGAAAAGAUUCUGAAAUGCAUAUUAAACUAUAUAGGCAGAAGUACAUGAAAAAGAUGAAUUAUCAAUUUAAAGUCGCUGAUUGUUUUGAUUGUUUUAAUGCUUUACAAACUUUAGACAUUUUCUGGAAAGAUAUAUGACUGUAAAUGGUGAAGUUUAAAACGAUAAACUCUUAACAAUCUUUCAGGCUUAAUAUGCAGUUGUUUUUCCUUAUUACCAAGUAUCUUCAGAGACGGUGAAAUAUUGUAACUCCUACAUAGUUUAAAUGUUGACAUAGGGCAAUUUCCCCUGGAUUUAGAGUGGGGCUUUGUUUUGCUUUCUCAGUGAAAGGAAAAGGUUAAGCUGCUUUCAGCAUUUUUUAAUGGGAGAGGGAUCAAACUUUGGUUCUGUAUAAUUACUUAUCUGUUGCUUUGGAUCUCUGGGUUGGGUGACUAAAUUGUUAGCAUUCUAAUUUGAUCCUUUGGGAUUUUGUUUUGAGAUCUGUGGUACAUUAAGGUGGAAAAAGGUGCUAAUGGUGUCUAAAUUCUUUACUCUCAUAUUUAAUACCUACAUUUCAAUUUUUUGGGUGGAGGGGGUGAAUACUAGGGAUUGAACUC